rnacentral:misc_RNA from 1 species
GAUGAAGAACGCAGCAAAAUGCGAUAAGUAAUGUGAAUUGCAGAAUUCAGUGAAUCAUCGAAUCUUUGAACGCACAUUGCGCCCGCCAGUAUUCUGGCGGGCAUGCCAGUUCGAGCGUCAUUUCAACCCUCAAGCACAGCUUGGUGUUGGGACUCGCGUUAAUUCGCGUUCCCCAAAUUGAUUGGCGGUCACGUCGAGCUUCCAUAGCGUAGUAGUAAAACCCUCGUUACUGGUAAUCGUCGCGGCCACGCCGUUAAACCCCAACUUCUGAAUGUUGACCUCGGAUCAGGUAGGAAUACCCGCUGAACUUAAGCAUAUCAAUAAGCGAGGA